rnacentral:rRNA from 1 species
GACGAACGCUGGCGGCGUGCUUAACACAUGCAAGUCGAACGAAGAGCGACGGAAGCUUGCUUCUCUCAAUCUUAGUGGCGAACGGGUGAGUAACGCGUAAUCAACCUGCCCUUCAGAGGGGGACAACAGUUGGAAACGACUGCUAAUACCGCAUACGAUCUAACCUCGGCAUCGAGGAUAGAUGAAAGGUGGCCUCUACAUGUAAGCUAUCACUGAAGGAGGGGAUUGCGUCUGAUUAGCUAGUUGGAGGGGUAACGGCCCACCAAGGCGAUGAUCAGUAGCCGGUCUGAGAGGAUGAACGGCCACAUUGGGACUGAGACACGGCCCAGACUCCUACGGGAGGCAGCAGUGGGGAAUCUUCCGCAAUGGACGAAAGUCUGACGGAGCAACGCCGCGUGAGGGAUGACGGCCUUCGGGUUGUAAAGCUCUGUUAAUCGGGACGAAAGGCCUUCUUGCGAAUAGUGAGAAGGAUUGACGGUACCGGAAUAGAAAGCCACGGCUAACUACGUG